rnacentral:ncRNA from 2 species
ACAAAAGGUAGAGGUUGCGCUACUGAUAAGUAGGCUGAUGGAUGCAGGCAAAGAGCAAGGGAAGUCAGCUAAAAGGCAUUGGCGCCGAAAGAAUGGCUGUGCAAAGGCUGUUCUUGGGCAUAUAUCGAAUAGGUAUAUGACUGUCAUCUGUUCACAGAUGGGGAGCUACUAAGGGA